rnacentral:rRNA from 1 species
GGGUCAGUAGGUUGGACGUGCCACCGGUACGUACUGGUCUCACUGAUUCCUCCUUCCUGAAGAACUGUAAUGCCAUUAAUUUGGUGUUGCGGGGAAACAGGACUGUUACUUUGAAAAAAUUAGAGUGUUUAAAGCAAGCUAACGCUUGAAUACAUUAGCAUGGAAUAAUGAAAUAGGACGAUCGAUCCUAUUUUGUUGGUUUCUAGGAUUGACGUA